rnacentral:rRNA from 1 species
CGAUAACGAACGAGACCUUAACCUGCUAACUAGUUAGGCCAACGUUUGUUGGUCGUCAACUUCUUAGAGGGACUAUUGACUAUUAGUCAAUGGAAGUUUGAGGCAAUAACAGGUCUGUGAUGCCCUUAGAUGUUCUGGGCCGCACGCGCGCUACACUGAUCAAGUCAGCGAGUCUACAACCUUGGCCGGAAGGUCUGGGUAAUCUUUUGAAACUUGAUCGUGCUGGGGAUAGUCCAUUGCAAUUAUUGGACUUCAACGAGGAAUUCCUAGUAAGCGUGAGUCAUCAGCUCGCGUUGAUUACGUCCCUGCCCUUUGUACACACCGCCCGUCGCUACUACCGAUUGAAUGGCU